rnacentral:misc_RNA from 1 species
GAUGAAGAACGCAGCGAAAUGCGAUAAGUAAUGUGAAUUGCAGAAUCCAGUGAAUCAUCGAAUCUUUGAACGCACAUUGCGCCCCCUGGUAUUCCGGGGGGCAUGCCUGUUCGAGCGUCAUUUCAACCCUCAAGCUCUGCUUGGUAUUGAGUCCAUGUCAGCAAUGGCAGGCUCCAAAAUCAGUGGCGGCGCCGCUGGGUCCUGAACGUAGUAAUAUCUCUCGUUACAGGUGCUCGGCGUGCUUCUGCCAAAACCCCAAUUUUUCUAUGGUUGACCUCGGAUCAGGUAGGGAUACCCGCUGAACUUAAGCAUAUCAAUAAGCGGAGGA